GCAAGUGGCAGCACUUUUCUCAAACUUUAAGGUAUGAACAAAUUCGAGUGGACUAUGUGGCAGCAUUGCUCUUAGGCUCUAAAGGCAUGCACUGCUCAGUUUUGGAUGUUUUAUGAGGCUAUCUAUGGAUUGCGGCAAAAGGACCAAGGCGGUCAUGGUGGCUAUUUUCAUUAGUCAUUAAAGAUUUUGUUGUGCGAGCAAAUCAUCUGAGUUGUUGCUGUACAAGCCAACGUCUUAGUUUUGUAGGUACUUGAGUGUAGCUUGGUUAUUACCUUAGUAUUUCGUGUGAAAUAUUGUACAAGUACAAAUGUUGAUGGUUUUAAUGAAAAUGAUGAGCAAUAUUUGUCAA